AAGUGCUAGGAUUACAGGCGUGAGCCACCAUGCCUGGCCAACUGUUAGGUCUUGUUAUUGUCACCAUCAUCACCACUAUCAUCUGAUCAUCAGCAUCCUAGUUGUUGUUAAGUAUUCUGCUAAAGUUUACGCGCCGGAUAUAACAAGCAAUAUUGCAUGCAAUGUGCCUUGCUUUAUCUCAUUUAAUUUUCCCAACAACCUGUGAACGAUACUAUUAUGAGGAAACUAAGAUCGAAACCACCUGCUUCAUGGCUGUGUCUCUGGGAAUCAUUUAGCCUUUUUCUGAUUCUGAUUGACUGAAGAUACAAAUACAAUGAUCAGAUGAACACUGCCCUUUUUUUUGAGAAUGGGAAUGUCAGCCGCUUUAUUUGUUCAGCUUCCUCAGCAAAGCACCUCUUAGAAACUUCAACUGCAGUAAAUAUACUACAAUGAAUGAAUGAAAUGCACAGUUGCUUACAUGGGCCCCUCAAAAUUUCUGGCAAUCUCAGAGAAUUUCACCUAGUAAACACCCCAAAAUAGUUGUUGAAUGACCUGUCAAUAAAAUAAAAACAUAGAUGAACCCCC